CAAAUUAUAAUCAUAGUUGUAGUUCAUCCAUUAGGCUGGAAAAGACAAGAUUCCCAAGUGGCCUUGGUGCCUUUUCCAGUUCCCGGGAGACCCACCAACCCUCGGCGUGUGUUGCCUGCGCACCCGGAGCGUUCUUGCUAAUCAGGUCAAUGAUUAGCGCCUGGCUCCAGGGACCUGCCAAGAGUGUUAGGGAGCCUCCAAACGGAGCACGCUCACGGAGAAUCUCCCGUUCAGAAACAUCGCUUAGUCCUCAUUUACUCACUGGGAACCUCGGAGGAUUUCAGCUGAUGUUUUUCUCUCCUUAGACAGUGAGGAGCUCAACAUAACAGGGAAAAGGAGCACAGGAUGCAGCUACUUAGAGGGUGUUGAUUGAAAACUUCGAUCUCCCCACCCCAUCACGGUUGAUUUGACGGAUUUCUCACCUCGUUCACAGAGAAAAUUUCAAUUAAGGCACAUGGAGACGGACCUCUACCUGCAAUGCCCCCCUUGCACUUGGACAGAACCAUGUGACUAUUUAUAAGCUAUGACACAUGAGCAGACAUGACAUGACGGGAUUGAUGGAGCAAUGACCUCAUCUUUUCUCCUGCCAAAUAUUAUGAAAGAGGACUCAAGUCACUCACCUGAGGGACACUGGGUGAAAGUCAGUAAUGAAGCUGAAAGGUCGCUAAAUGCUGAAUUUAAAAGCAUUAAGAUUUAAGUGUGGCUGACUGCCACGGUUACUACUUGAGACCGUCAUUACUAGACUGAAUGAAGAGACGAACAUAGAAAUGGUAACAAAAAACAAAAGAAACUGUUUUAAGGAAAGGCUAGCAUGGGGAAGAAGAGAGCUCCCUGCUUCUAGUGGUCCUCAUUCCAUCUUUGCAUUCAGAUUCAACUGGUUCAUGGUUCAUACUGGGGGAACAAGGUCCAUGGUUGGGAUCCAUGGGUCCCUCCAGUCUCCUGUUCAACGGUCGUACACACCUUGGGAGCACCCACUCGGUUUGUUCAUCUUCUGCAAAGAUGUAAGUAUACCCUCGUCCCCACGUUAGUAAAUCUA
rnacentral:lncRNA from 10 species